AUGGGACUAAAACGUAUCCAAGCACCCUCUAAGCCUGACGCCGUCCUCGCCUUCCUCGCCGACCUCGGCCUGUCCACCGUCGACGUCACCCCCCUCGUUGCCAAGGACCCCAAGCUCCUCUGCGCCGGCGUGGACAGGAGCCUGGCCCCCAACGUCGCGGACCUCACCGGCCUCGGUUGGUCACACUCCGAGGUCGCGCAACUCGUGGCGAUCGCCGGAGCAAAACUCCGCCCUAGAUCCGUCGUCUCCAAGCUGCAGUACUUCCGGUGGCUCUUCGGCUCCUUCGAGAACCUCCUCCGGACGCUCAAGUUGAACGCCAAUCUCCUCCAGCACAACCUCGACAGGGCGGUGAAGCCCAACGUCGCCUUCCUGCGGGAGUGCGGCCUAGAUGCUUGCGCUAUUGCCAAGCUGUGCGGCCAUCGGCCACGGCUGCUCACCGCCGACCCGGAACGCGUCUGGCUAAUGGCGGCCUCCGCCGAGAGAAUUGGUGUGCCCCGUGAAUCUCGGAUGUUCAGGCACGCACUGCAUGCUGUUUCAUUCCAGAGCGACGAGAAGAUCACCACCAAAGUGGGGUACUUGAAGAACACGUUCAGGUGGUCAGAUGCUGAGGCGGGCAUUGCCGUGUCUAAUGCUCCUACGGUGCUGAGGAAGUCAAAGGAAUCGCUGCGGCGCAGUUCCGAGUUCUUCUUCUCUGUGGUGGGGUUGGAACCAGCCUACAUUGCUCAACGGCCGGUAAUUAUCAGUUACAGCCUAGAGGGCCGUCUCAGGCCCCGGUACUGCGUCGUAGAGUUUCUCAAGGAAAAUGGACUGGUCAAGCGUGUUCCGAGUUGGCAUACCAUUUUCAAUCUGAUUGAGAAGGAAUUCAUGGAGAGGUACAUAUGCCCUCACAUGGUAGCUGCACCGCACCUCGCUGAAGACUAUGCUGCUGCCUGCAGAGGGGAAAUGCCGACUAGUUUCAGAUUUACAUGA
rnacentral:rRNA from 1 species